GUCUUACCACUGGAAAGCACUGGGAGAUGCCAAUCUGUCGGCGCAUUCCUGGUGCUGAGGAGGGAGAGGCGUCGUGUCGGAGUGAUGUUCCCGUUUGCAAAAUGGUACCUUUGACCUCUGAUAUAGAUUAAAGAAAAGCCAAGGAAAGGCUGGAGGAGAGUGAAACCUUGAUGAGACUACAGUUGUUCCACUGGUAUCCUUGCAGCCAAGAGGAGGAAAUGUGGGUGGAACGGAUGAAUUACAAGGUAAGUGAAAAACCACUGGGUCCAUAAGGUUUGAA